GCGACUACGUUUUCCGGCUGUGGGCAAUGGGUAACCAGUCAUCCAUCUGCAGUCAGUGCGGAAUAAUUCAGAACCACCACGGCCUCGAGUGGUACACGAAGCUGACUGGGUUGCGCCUGAAUGUCGGAGCCGUCCACAACACACCCCACUGGAGGCUCCGAAAUAUUCCCAAACGAUACGGCAACGACAGCCUUGGUGGGAUAGAGCAGGCCUACGUCAUCGCCUUGUCUCACUACUUCAACUUCACGUAUAACGUCGUUCCGGACGCCGAAAGCAAGUUUGGCGGACUGGACGGUGACAAAUGGAGCGGCAUGAUCGGCCAAGUGCAUCGCAAGGCAAUGUACA